GUCAAAAUUUUAAAAUGCUCAAAAUCACUUUUUGAUCAAAGUAGAGUACGAAUCAGGUCAUUCUAAGCAUUUCAGAAAUUUGCGCGCUCACAGGUUUUCGCGCGCGUUUACGCGCGUAACGUCCUUACGCAACUUACAACUGCACUUUAUUUUACAUCAAUGCAUUCUUUAUGAAAUUUCCAAUAAUUUGAUACCUUAAUCGACCUUCUACGAUCAGUAAUGAAGGAAUGCGCCUCCGUCAAAGUUUGAAUUACGCGCGCAAGCGCGCGUUCACAAUAGGCCAAAAAUGUGCAAAAACAUGCUUUUACAAAAUUCUAUAUAACUCUUCAGAUAGUCCGUUGACCCCCAAAUUUUCUUUUAUAUUCGGAUAGAGUAGGACUUGUAGAUGUGAUUUCAUGUCACAUUUGACAAUACAUUUUAUCAUAACGUCUUCAAAUUGGCGUCAAAACUAAAAUUUUCAAUUUUUGUUUCAUGUCGUUUUAAUAAUUUUGCAAAUAUGACUAUAACUCCGUAAUCAUCGGUCGUUUUUCGCCCGGUUUUCGACAUAUUGUAGUUAAUUAUAUAUUCUUCCAAAUUAUGUUACAUUUGUAUCAUUUUGAGCAGGAGAUCAUCAUAAAUAUUAACAAUGUAUGGAAGUAUAAUUUAUGAUAUAACUUUCACCUUAAAAAAUCAAUUUGAGGUUAUAUUUUAUCGUUGCCUUGCAAGUGUAUGGCAGUUACUAUGGUCUGAUGGUUAGUGCAUCUGCCUUGUAAUGCGAGGGUCCCUGGAUCGAAACCCAUCAGCAUCUAUUAUUUUUUUUAAUUAAAUUUUGUCUCAUUUUGCGUGUAACCCCUAUAAGCCAGUUUGGGGUUCAUUCUGCAAAUGAUAAGAAAAAUUCAUUGGUACUAAAGUGACAUGAUUGUUUUAUAUUUAAUGAGAUAUUAGUAACAACCUUGAUGUCUUGAUUAUUCUUUUAGAUUGUGCGAUUCAAUACAUGCAAAAAAACAACAAUGCGUGUACUAGCAACUGAUAUUUCAGAGUUGGCUAUGUAUUGUUAUAAGAACACGGCUAACGCUGCAUUCCAGAAAGAAAUGCAACAAAUGCUUCCGUCAGUGUUCAUUGCUUUGCUAUUCUAUUCACCUGGUCUAUACAAUUGCUCCAACGUGCUAUGUAAGGCAUGCUUGUAUAAUAUUUUGCAAUGAAAUCUACAUAUCGUCAUGUAAGAAAUUAAAUAUCAUUUAGUCAUUACUGCUCACGAGGCAACUAAAUACUGGUCAAUGCAUACUGGUUUAAUUUUUUUUCAAAACUGGAUUCUAGAAUCUUGCUUUCGUCAACACUAUGCUCACUAUUUCGUGUUAUUACUUGCUAAAUUGGAAUUGACAUUCUUUAGAAAAACAAGAUUUAUACAACCUUUUAUUUUAAUGUCUUUCAACAGUAUUUAACAGGUCCUUUCAUUGAUAAAACUACG